rnacentral:snoRNA from 1 species
UGCGAGAGUGAUGAGUUGCACACUGGUGGAGUUGCCAUGUCAGGUGACGUGGGCACCACUCAGGAUCUCCCUGAUGACAAUACUAAGUGCACAGGGGCCAUCUGACUCGCU